rnacentral:rRNA from 1 species
UACGUAGGGGGCAAGCGUUGUCCGGAAUCAUUGGGCGUAAAGAGCGUGUAGGCGGCUCGGUAAGUCCGCUGUAAAAGUCCGGGGCUCAACCCUGGAAAGCCGGUGGAAACUGUCGAGCUAGAGUCCGGAAGAGGCGAGUGGAAUUCCUGGUGUAGCGGUGAAAUGCGCAGAUAUCAGGAGGAACACCAAUGGCGAAGGCAGCUCGCUGGGACGGUACUGACGCUGAGACGCGAAAGCGUGGGGAGCAAACAGG